GUUGGUGAACCAGCGGAGGGAUCAUUAAAGAGUUGCAAAACUCCCACAAACCAUCGCGAACCGUACCGAUUCACCGUUGCUUCGGCGGGCUCGCCCGCCGGAGUAGCGACACCCAAACUCUUUAUAAUUAUUGGCCUCUCUGAGUAAGAUUUAUAAAUAAGUCAAAACUUUCAACAACGGAUCUCUUGGUUCUG
rnacentral:misc_RNA from 1 species